CAUGCCGUAAACGGUGGGCGCUAGGUGUAGGGGUCUUCCACGACUUCUGUGCCGUAGCUAACGCAUUAAGCGCCCCGCCUGGGGAGUACGGCCGCAAGGCUAAAACUCAAAGGAAUUGACGGGGGCCCGCACAAGCGGCGGAGCAUGUGGAUUAAUUCGAUGCAACGCGAAGAACCUUACCAAGGCUUGACAUGCACCGGUACAGUGUAGAGAUAUGCUGGCCUUUUUGGCUGGUGUGCAGGUGG
rnacentral:rRNA from 1 species